rnacentral:rRNA from 1 species
UUCGCCCUUAGAGUUUGAUCCUGGCUCAGGACGAACGCUGGCGGCGCGCCUAACACAUGCAAGUCGAACGGAGCUUAGAGAGCUUGCUUUUUAAGCUUAGUGGCGAACGGGUGAGUAACGCGUGAGUAACCUGCCCUAGAGUGGGGGACAACAGUUGGAAACGACUGCUAAUACCGCAUAAGCCCACGGUACCGCAUGGUACUGAGGGAAAAGGAUUUAUUCGCUUUAGGAUGGACUCGCGUCCAAUUAGCUAGUUGGUGAGGUAACGGCCCACCAAGGCGACGAUUGGUAGCCGGACUGAGAGGUUGAACGGCCACAUUGGGACUGAGACACGGCCCAGACUCCUACGGGAGGCAGCAGUGGGGGAUAUUGCACAAUGGGGGAAACCCUGAUGCAGCGACGCCGCGUGGAGGAAGAAGGUUUUCGGAUUGUAAACUCCUGUCGUUAGGGACGAUAAUGACGGUACCUAACAAGAAAGCACCGGCUAACUACGUGCCAGCAGCCGCGGUAAAACGUAGGGUGCAAGCGUUGUCCGGAAUUACUGGGUGUAAAGGGAGCGCAGGCGGGAAGACAAGUUGGAAGUGAAAACCAUGGGCUCAACCCAUGAAUUGCUUUCAAAACUGUUUUUCUUGAGUAGUGCAGAGGUAGAUGGAAUUCCCCGGUGUAGCGGUGGAAUGCGUAGAUAUCGGGAGGAACACCAGUGGCGAAGGCGGUCUACUGGGCACCAACUGACGCUGAGGCUCGAAAGCAUGGGUAGCAAACAGGAUUAGAUACCCUGGUAGUCCAUGCCGUAAACGAUGAUUACUAGGUGUUGGGGGAUUGACCCCCUCAGUCCAGCAAUAAACACAAAAAGUAAUCCCCCUGGGGAGUACGACCGCAAGGUUGAAACUCAAAGGAAUUACGUGGGGCCCACACAAGCAGUGGAGUAUAUGGUUUUAAUUAGAAGCAACGCGAAGAACCUUUACCAGGUCUUGACAUCCGAUGCAUAGCACAGAGAUGUGUGAAAUCAUUCGGGACAUCGAGACAGGUGGUGCAUGGUUGUCGUCAGCUCGUGUCGUGAGAUGUUGGGUUAAGUCCCGCAACGAGCGCAACCCUUAUUGCCAGUUACUACGUUAAGAGGACUCUGGCGAGACUGCCGUUGACAAAACGGAGGAAGGUGGGGAUGACGUCAAAUCAUCAUGCCCUUUAUGACCUGGGCUACACACGUACUACAAUGGCGUUAAACAAAGAGAAGCAAGACCGCGAGGUGGAGCAAAACUCAAAAACAACGUCUCAGUUCAGAUUGCAGGCUGCAACUCGCCUGCACGAAGUCGGAAUUGCUAGUAAUCGUGGAUCAGCAUGCCGCGGUGAAUACGUUCCCGGGCCUUGUACACACCGCCCGUCA